rnacentral:lncRNA from 1 species
AUGAUGCUUGCACUGGUCUGUAAUUGUGCUUACAGCUGCUUCUACCCCUUGCCUUUCAGAUGUGGUGGUGGAGUGAAGAGCAAGGACAUCUGCUGCUCAGAGUACUCCUCGCUGGACUCCCUCCGCACCUGGCAACCUCAGAUGGUCUGGUCUCAAGCAGCGUCCCAUCAAAGAGCACCACCUGCAUCUCACAGUGGCAUGGCAACAGGUUUCGUUGUAAAGUGCAUCUCUGGCAUCUCUGCUUUCUGCUAGCAGCCCAGAGCCAGUUCUGAAGGACAGGCCAAUUUGGAAGAACACCUUCUCUCAGUAGCACGUGAGUCGCAGCGCUGUUGUGGGUGCAGCAAUCCUGCAGGCAGUUUGCAGGCCACUGGCUGUGCAGCUUUGAGCACGCUCGCAGCAGAUAGGACUGAGGAGAAGAUGGU